rnacentral:rRNA from 1 species
GACGAACGCUGGCGGCGUGCCUAAUACAUGCAAGUAGAACGCACAGUUUAUACCGUAGCUUGCUCCACCAUAGACUGUGAGUUGCGAACGGGUGAGUAACGCGUAGGUAACCUGCCUGGUAGCGGGGGAUAACUAUUGGAAACGAUAGCUAAUACCGCAUAAUAUUGAUUAUUGCAUGAUAAUUGAUUGAAAGAUGCUAUUGCAUCACUACCAGAUGGACCUGCGUCGUAUUAGCUAGUAGGUGAGGUAACGGCUCACCUAGGCGACGAUACAUAGCCGACCUGAGAGGGUGAUCGGCCACACUGGGACUGAGACACGGCCCAGACUCCUACGGGAGGCAGCAGUAGGGAAUCUUCGGCAAUGGACGAAAGUCUGACCGAGCAACGCCGCGUGAGUGAAGAAGGUUUUCGGAUCGUAAAGCUCUGUUGUAAGAGAAGAACGGGUGUGAGAGUGGAAAGUUCACACUGUGACGGUAUCUUACCAGAAAGGGACGGCUAACUACGUG